CAGCUGGUCAGCCCGGUGUGCAAUUCAACGGGACCACACUGCUUCCGCUUCUGGUAUCACAUGUACGGAGUGGCUGAAACCAUGGCCCUGCGGGUGUAUGUGGCUCAGGACGGAGAGCUACUGGAGGUCUGGAAAAGCGUUGGGAACCACGGGGACAGAUGGAUCUUGGGAGAGGUCACAGUGCACAGUGCAGGAAACCUGCAGCUUGUCCUCGAGGGAGAAUGGGGGGAAGAUUUCCGCAGUGACGUAGCACUGGAUGAUCUGUCCAUUGAACAGGGAUACUGUCCAGGCGAUGUGACCCCAACACCAGGCGCCGGCACCACCACACCUGUGGCAGAAAUAACCACACCAACACCACAGCCAGGCUCAG
ensembl:lncRNA